GACGUAGGGCGCGAGCGUUGUCCGGAUUUAUUGGGCGUAAAGAGCUCGUAGGCGGCUUGUUGCGUCGGCUGUGAAAACCCGCGGCUUAACCGCGGGCCUGCAGCCGAUACGGGCAGGCUAGAGUUCGGUAGGGGAGACUGGAAUUCCUGGUGUAGCGGUGAAAUGCGCAGAUAUCAGGAAGAACACCCGUGGCGAAGGCGGCUCUCUGGGACGGUACUGACGCUGAGACGCGAAAGCGUGGGGAGCGAACAGG
rnacentral:rRNA from 1 species